UCCUCACUGCCGAAGGAAAUAAAUAUUUUGUUAUGCUGUUUCGGUUUCAAACACCACAGAUGGAAGUCUUGGCCCUCACCAGUCAUCGCGUUGCAGAAAUCCCCGUGUACCUUUGAGAAGUCGGGGUGGGGAUGAGCGAAGUGGUCCUCUGGAAAAUCCCUGCAGAACAUCGUGCUGCAGGCAACUCAGGAAAUUGAGGAAAUAUUCAGAUAAGUUGGAAGUGGUCCUGCUGCACAAGAAUGAGAAAUUGCCCAGCCCACGUGGUUCUGUGACAUUGUUCUUCAGCUGCAGUUCUUGGGAGAUCGCCGCAAUUGUUAACAUCCAAACAAAAACAGUCUAAUGAAAGUGUUUUAAUCUGCUGAUCAGCUAUUCAGAGAGGAAGGGAUAGCCGUGCUAGGUGUCUUUGGAGUGUGGAAAUUAAUGCGGCAGUGAUCAGGCAUCAACAAGGAUGAGAACUCCUCUGUGAACUGUGAAGCUGAUGGGACAUCUGCUGUUCCUCCUUGGCACCACGGGGAUUUGAUCGGAUAACAUAAGGCUUGUUGCUGGUGAGCAGCGGUAGCAGAUUGUCAUCAACAAGCAUUUAUUAGAGUUUGAAGAUUGAAGGAGAUUUGUCUCAGGUGUCACAGUGAACACAGGAAGAAGGACGAGAAGGGGAUGUGGUUGGCUACAGAUCUUUAAAGAGAGGAUGUGAUCCAGCCUUGAGACUGUUUUCAGCUGUAACAAAUGCCUUCCAUGAGAUGUCAGUCCAGGGGUACCUUUGUGGUUGUUGUAAGGGCAAGAAAAAUAUGCAGCAAGAAGUUCUCGUCCUCCUUCCCGUGGCUGCUCCUGCCCCUCUGCUCCUGCUGACUGUCACGGGAGUUCAGGAUCAGCCCCCUGGUCUGGCAGUGAAGAGCCCUGGUCUGCAUUGAGUCCCUGACAACAAAAAGGAUGCACCCUUGGUAUAAAGGAAAAGGCUCCUCAGAAGGUUUUCCUGACGUGAUGGAACAAUUGCCAUGCUUCGUUGCUGCAAAGUGCCCUGCCUUCAUGUACUGACCUCAAGCAAGAGCGAGACAUGGUGACGUAUCUCCUCACACUACGGUUCCCAGAAAU